rnacentral:rRNA from 1 species
AACGAACGCUGGCGGCAUGCCUAACACAUGCAAGUCGAACGAAGGCUUCGGCCUUAGUGGCGCACGGGUGAGUAACGCGUAGGAAACUGCCUAUUGGUGGGGAAUAACGACGGGAAACUGUCGCUAAUACCGCAUAAGCCCUUCGGGGGAAAGAUUUAUCGCCGAUAGAUGUGCCCGCGUCCGAUUAGCUAGUUGGUGGGGUAAUGGCUCACCAAGGCGACGAUCGGUAGCUGGUCUGAGAGGAUGAUCAGCCACACUGGGACUGAGACACGGCCCAGACUCCUACGGGAGGCAGCAGUGGGGAAUAUUGGACAAUGGGCGAAAGCCUGAUCCAGCAAUGCCGCGUGAGUGAUGAAGGCCUUAGGGUUGUAAAGCUCUCUCGGGUGGGACGAUGAUGACGGUACCACCAGAAGAAGCCCCGGCUAACUUCGUGCCAGCCGCCGCAGUAA